CCUACGGGAGGCAGCAGUGGGGAAUAUUGCGCAAUGGGCGAAAGCCUGACGCAGCGACGCCGCGUGAGGGAUGAAGGUCUUCUGAUCGUAAACCUCUGUCAGCAUGGAAGAACGGUCACUGUGCUAUUCAGCAGUGAAUUGACGGUACCUGCAAAGGACGCACCGGCUAACUCCGUGCCAGCAGCCGCGGUAAUACGGAGGGUGCGAGCGUUAAUCGGAAUUACUGGGCGUAAAGCUCUCGUAGGCGGUAUGUCAAGUCAAGGGUGAAAUCCCCGCGCUCAACGUGGGAACUGCCUUUGAAACUGGCAAACUGGAGUGUGUGAGAGGAUAGUGGAAUUCCAGGUGUAGGAGUGAAAUGCGUAGAUAUCUGGAGGAACAUCAGUGGCGAAGGCGACUAUCUGGCACAUAACUGACGCUGAGGAGCGAAAGCGUGGGUAGCAAACAGGAUUAGAUACCCGUGUAGUC
rnacentral:rRNA from 1 species